CUGGUUUAUGAGUCACAGCAAUUUGAUUAAUCACAGCUUGUUUUCUUUUCCUUUUCCAAUUUGAAAGAGCCUAUUGAACGUUCUGUCUUAGACAACGUGGUGGCCAGUGAGGUCUCUGUGUAAGAGAAGUCAGAGGGGAGCAAAUCUACAGUGAAGAUCAACAUGAAGAGGGAAGGGGUCUUCCCUGGUGUCCUGUAGUCUUUUAUAACAUUUUACAGAACAAUGUAGGACGCAGACAUGUACAGUAGGAGGGCGAUGGGAGACACCUGGAGAGAAGAUGGCCGUCCACAAACCAGGGCCAGAGGCCUAGAGCAGGUGCCCCCUGCUGGACUCCAAGGGAGCCAAGCCUGCUGCCCCCUGGGUUUUGGACUUCUGGCUUCCAGAACUGCAAGGUGAUAAGCUUCUCUUGUCGAAGGCACCCAAUCUGUGGCAGUUUAUUAUGGUCCCCGUAGCAAACAAAUACCCUCAGGUUGGCUGCAUCCUGGGACUGAAGGUCAGCGCUGCUCUCAAGAUGUAAAAGACUUUCUCCUUCUGAGGCUCCGGGGUCCACUCCUGCCAUUGCCAGCAUUCUAGAACUGGUGUGGCCCCUCCACCUUAACCAGCCCUGGGCUCUGGAGUUUCUGACUGUGAUUGUCCACAUUUUGACCACAACUUUGUAUAUAAAAACCCUCCUUGAACUGUUCCACUGUGUGUGCCCGCCUAUUGGGACCCUGACUGAUACAUGCUGUAUUGGUUUUUAAAAACUUUUUAAAAUUUAUAUUUUAUUUAGGAUUUUGCAUGUAUGUUUAUGAGAUUGGCCUAUAAUUUUCCUUUCCUAUAUUCUCUGAAUGACUGUUAUCAAGGCUAUCCCAGCCUCAUAAAAUAAGUUCUUCUUUUAUCAAAAUUCACUGGAAAAUUCUGUAUAUAGUUGGAAGGAUCUAUCCUUUGAAAGUUAAAUGGAAUUCACCCAUAA
rnacentral:lncRNA from 1 species